GACGAACGCUGGCGGCGUGCCUAAUACAUGCCAGUCGAACGAACCGCGACUAAGUGCUUGCACUAAGUCAAGGUGAGUGGCGAACGGGUGAGUAACACGUGGGUAACCUACCUCAUAGUGGGGGAUAACAGUCGGAAACGACUGCUAAUACCGCAUAGGACAUAGGAUCACAUGAUCCAGUGAGGAAAGGUGGCGCAAGCUAUCGCUAAGAGAUGGACCCGCGGUGCAUUAGCUAGUUGGUAGGGUAAAGGCCUACCAAGGCGAUGAUGCAUAGCCGACCUGAGAGGGUGAUCGGCCACAUUGGGACUGAGACACGGCCCAAACUCCUACGGGAGGCAGCAGUAGGGAAUCUUCCGCAAUGGACGCAAGUCUGACGGAGCAACGCCGCGUGAGUGAAGAAGGUCUUCGGAUCGUAAAGCUCUGUUGUUAGAGAAGAACAGCGAAUAGAGUAACUGCUAUGCGUGUGACGGUAUCUAACCAGAAAGCCACGGCUAACUACGUG
rnacentral:rRNA from 1 species